rnacentral:tRNA from 1 species
UAGAGUACUCGGCUUUUAACCGAC